rnacentral:rRNA from 1 species
GACGAACGCUGGCGGCGUGCUUAACACAUGCAAGUCGAACGGAAAGGCCCUGCUUGCAGGGUACUCGAGUGGCGAACGGGUGAGUAACACGUGGGUGAUCUGCCCUGCACUUCGGGAUAAGCCUGGGAAACUGGGUCUAAUACCGGAUAGGAGCCAUUUUUAGUGUGAUGGUUGGAAAGUUUUUUCGGUGUAGGAUGAGCUCGCGGCCUAUCAGCUUGUUGGUGGGGUAAUGGCCUACCAAGGCGGCGACGGGUAGCCGGCCUGAGAGGGUGGACGGCCACAUUGGGACUGAGAGACGGCCCAGACGCCUACGGGAGGCAGCAGUGGGGAAUAUUGCACAAUGGGCGCAAGCCUGAUGCAGCGACGCCGCGUGGGGGAUGACGGCCUUCGGGUUGUAAACGCCUUUCGCUAGGGACGAAGCUUUUUGUGACGGUACCUAGAUAAGAAGCACCGGCUAACUACGUG